GGGUGAUCUCUCUUGUGUCCUCCAGGGCAGCUUGCUUUCCUCACUGCUAUUUGGGGCCAUGGCAAUGAGAUAUGGUUGCAUCAGUGUCCAGGACAUGCAGAUCAGUGGUGGGAGUGCAGCCCUAAGCAUUGGCCACACUUUGCCAGCAGGAGAAGAAAGAGUCAUGUAUUGCUCAGAGCCUCAGCUGCUUGCUUUUGAUCUUCUGGGCUGUCAUUAAGACCUACAUUCACUGCAUUUAACUGUAGGCAUCUACCUGGCAUAUCUCUCAGCUACUCUGAACCCCUUCUCUGGGAUUACAGCCAUGAAGCAGUCUCUGCAGCUGUAAGCCCUGCAUGCUGACACAUGGAUGAUGACAUCCAGAGCCUCCUGGCAUGUGACCAACUCCAGGCCUCACUGUCCAGUUUGUCCAUCCCAGGAAAGAUCAGAAGCACCUAAGCCUGGUUUCCAAUGAGCUAGAGGUGAGAUCAUCCCUGGCACAAACGCCAGAGCAGAGAUCUCCUGCCUUUCUCGAAGCCAUGGCGUCCCAGCCCUACUCUGGCCCACUAAAGGCUGCUCUUUCAAUCUUCCCUCUCCUGAAUGUAUUCCAUCCUGAGUGGAAGGCUGAAGGUAGGAGGUCACCCCUCCAUGUUCCCUCCAGGGCAGACAGCUGAAGAUAGGAGGUCCAUGUCACCCCAGCUCCUAAGCUGCUUGGCUCAACAAUGACUGGCAAGAGACACAGGCGGCUGGUUUUCAAGGCAAAGGACUAACAUCACUUCCUGAGCUUCAUGACAUAAUGCUGAUCCUCACUGCUGGAGCAGCUUUGAGGGUGGUCAUGCUGCUUGGCCACAAAAUCAGCAGCCAAUUUCUUGGCAUUGACUAGUGCUGUUGGCUUCAUUUGGUUAGUAUCAGCAAAGGAUUUCUGCUCAGGGUACAUGGGCUUGAAUCGAACCCAGCCCUUUCACUUGAAGGUUGUUUGCGGCUGUUCCUUGGGUCUGAGCAAAGAACGGGGCUUGAACUUCUCCUUCCCCAAAAGCAAGUGGCUGGCUCUGCGUAACCUCCGUUUCAGCAUUUCUAUGCCCUUGGGAUCCAGGAGAUGCAGAUUUCCUUUGCAGUCCUGCUCCUGACCCGCAGUGUGACUGUAAGAAGUCAUUUCGCAGCUGCCUGCCUUAGUUUCUCCAUGCAGGAUUCCUGUCUCUCACCACUCUCUAGGGGAUGCUGAGCAUGAGGUUUAUCCAGGAACUAAGUUACCUGUAAAAGAGAUCAAAGAAAGGUUCUGGUUA